rnacentral:rRNA from 1 species
AGUGAACGCUGGCGGUAGGCCUAACACAUGCAAGUCGAACGGCAGCACAGUAAGAGCUUGCUCUUACGGGUGGCGAGUGGCGGACGGGUGAGGAAUAAAUCGGAAUCUACUUUUUCGUGGGGGAUAACGUAGGGAAACUUACGCUAAUACCGCAUACGACCUACGGGUGAAAGAAGGGGAUCUUCGGACCUUGCGCGAUUGAAUGAGCCGAUGUCGGAUUAGCUAGUUGGCGGGGUAAAGGCCCACCAAGGCGACGAUCCGUAGCUGGUCUGAGAGGAUGAUCAGCCACACUGGAACUGAGACACGGUCCAGACUCCUACGGGAGGCAGCAGUGGGGAAUAUUGGACAAUGGGCGCAAGCCUGAUCCAGCCAUACCGCGUGGGUGAAGAAGGCCUUCGGGUUGUAAAGCCCUUUUGUUGGGAAAGAAAAGCAGCAGGUUAAUACCCCGCUGUUCUGACGGUACCCAAAGAAUAAGCACCGGCUAACUUCGUG